rnacentral:ncRNA from 19 species
AAAUCAUACAUGCAUCUCCUUUGUAUAUACUCGCGAAUAUGGCGUGAGAGUCUCUACCGGGUCACCUUAAACGACCUGACUAUGAAGGAGCAGACCCUUCGU